GAUGAAGAACGUAGCGAAAUGCGAUAAGUAGUGUGAAUUGCAGACUUUAGUGAAUCAUCGAAUCUUUGAACGCAUAUUGCGCCCCUUGGUAUUCCAUUGGGCAUGCCUGUUCGAGCGUCAUUUACACCCUCAAGCCUAGCUUGGUGUUGGGCGUUGUCCGCAAGGACUCGCCUCAAAUUCAUUGGCAGCGGCAUCGUCAGCUUCUCGCGCAGCACAUUGCGCUUCAGAAGGCUUCUGGCGGGCUCGCGUCCACUAAGAUACCACCCAGUUUGACCUCGAAUCAGGUAGGGAUACCCGCUGAACUUAAGCAUAUCAAUAAGCGGAGGA
rnacentral:misc_RNA from 1 species